rnacentral:rRNA from 1 species
CUCUCUACAGAAGCUUGCGCCUAAGGAUGAACCUGCGGCCCAUCAGCUAGUUGGUAAGGUAACGGCUUACCAAGGCAAAGACGGGUAGCUGGUCUGAGAGGAUGAACAGCCACACUGGAACUGAGACACGGUCCAGACUCCUACGGGAGGCAGCAGUGGGGAAUCUUGCACAAUGGGCGAAAGCCUGAUGCAGCGACGCCGCGUGAGCGAUGAAGGCCUUCGGGUUGUAAAGCUCUGUGGGGAGGGACGAAUACGCGUUGGCUAAUAUCCAACGUGAUGACGGUACCUCCUUAGCAAGCACCGGCUAACUCUGUGCCAGCAGCCGCGGUAAGACAGAGGGUGCAAACGUUGUUCGGAAUUACUGGGCGUAAAGCGCGUGUAGGCGGCUAUAUAAGUCGGACGUGAAAUCCCACGGCUCAACCGUGGAAGUGCGCUCGAAACUGUGUAGCUUGAGUCCUGGAGAGGAAGACGGAAUACUUGGUGUAGAGGUGAAAUUCGUAGAUAUCAGGUAGAACACCAGUGGCGAAGGCGGUCUUCUGGACAGUGACUGACGCUGAGACGCGAAAGCGUGGGGAGCAAACAGGAUUAGAU